UACGUAGGGGGCGAGCGUUGUCCGGAUUCAUUGGGCGUAAAGAGCUCGUAGGCGGUUUGGUAAGUCGGGUGUGAAACCUCCAGGCUCAACCUGGAGACGCCACUUGAUACUGCCAUGACUCGAGUCCGGUAGGGGACCAUGGAAUUCCUGGUGUAGCGGUGAAAUGCGCAGAUAUCAGGAGGAACACCAGUAGCGAAGGCGGUGGUCUGGGCCGGUACUGACGCUGAAGAGCGAAAGCGUGGGGAGCGAACAGGAUUAGAUACCCUGGUAGUCCACGCCGUAAACGUUGGGCACUAGGUGUGGGGACCUAUCGACGGUUUCCGUGCCGCAGCUAACGCAUUAAGUGCCCCGCCUGGGGAGUACGGCCGCAAGGCUAAAACUCAAAGGAAUUGACGGGGGCCCGCACAAGCGGCGGAGCAUGUGGCUUAAUUCGAAGCAACGCGAAGAACCUUACCUGGGCUUGACAUGUGGGUUAAGGCGUGGAGACACGCUGACCUUCGGGUCCCACACAGGUGGUGCAUGGCUGUCGUCCGCUCGUGUCGUGAGAUGUUGGGUUAAGUCCCGCAACGAGCGCAACCCUUGUCCUAUGUUGCCAGCGGGUAAUGCCGGGGACUCGUAGGAGACUGCCGGGGUCAACUCGGAGGAAGGUGGGGAUGAAGUCAAGUCAUCAUGCCCCUUACGUCCAGGGCUGCACACAUGCUACAAUGGCCGGUACAAAGGGCUGCUAUCCCGCGAGGGUGAGCGAAUCCCAAAAAGCCGGUCUCAGUUCGGAUCGUAGUCUGCAACUCGACUGCGUGAAGUCGGAGUCGCUAGUAAUCCCGGAUCAGCAACGCCGGGGUGAAUACGUUCCCGGGCCU
rnacentral:rRNA from 1 species